rfam:Angiostrongylus costaricensis strain Costa Rica genome assembly, scaffold: ACOC_scaffold0001535
GCCUAAUUGGAUCAGGGGAAGAGCGUCUGUCUUGUAAACAGAAGGUCGCUGGUUCGAUUCCAGCAUGAGGCA